AAGUCGUAACAAGGUUUCCGUAGGUGAACCUGCGGAAGGAUCAUUAUCAAUGUCCAACAUCAACCCCUGUGCACUGAGUGUUUGGUGAGGGAUUUGAGUCGGGAGCGCAAGUUCUCGAUUCGAGUGCUUUGAGACGCAAGUUUCAAAACCCAUCAACCCAACCAUUCUCUAUUAAACCUGUUUAUAUUGUGAAUUCUUGCCAGAAUUCGGUUGUCUGAAACUAUAUACAAUUCAUUAAAUGAAAAAAUAUAACUUUUAACAACGGAUCUCUUGGCUCUC
rnacentral:misc_RNA from 1 species